rnacentral:rRNA from 1 species
CUUAAGUGGAAAACGAUGUGAAGUUACUUAAACAACCAGGAGGUUGGCUUAGAAGCAGCCAUCCUUUAAAGAAAGCGUAAUAGCUCACUGGUCUAGUGAUUUUGCGCGGAAAAUAUAACGGGGCUAAAGUAAGUACCGAAGCUGUAGACUUAGUUUACUAAGUGGUAGGAGAGCGUUCUAUUUGCGUCGAAGGUAUACCGGUAAGGAGUGCUGGAGCGAAUAGAAGUGAGCAUGCAGGCAUGAGUAGCGAUAAUUAAUGUGAGAAUCAUUAACGCCGUAAACCCAAGGUUUCCUACGCGAUGCUCGUCAUCGUAGGGUUAGUCGGGUCCUAAGUCGAGUCCGAAAGGGGUAGACGAUGGCAAAUUGGUUAAUAUUCCAAUACCAACAUUAGUGUGCGAUGGAAGGACGCUUAGGGCUAAGGGGGCUAGCGGAUGGAAGUGCUAGUCUAAGGUCGUAGGAGGUUAUACAGGAAAAUCCGUAUAACAAUACUCCGAGAACUGAAAGGCUUUUUGAAGUCUUCGGAUGGAUAGAAGAACCCCUGAUGCCGUCGAGCCAAGAAAAGUUUCUAAGUUUAGCUAAUGUUGCCCGUACCGUAAACCGACACAGGUGGGUGGGAUGAGUAUUCUAAGGCGCGUGGAAGAACUCUCUUUAAGGAACUCUGCAAAAUAGCACCGUAUCUUCGGUAUAAGGUGUGGUUAGCUUUGUAUUAGGAUUUACUCCGAAAGCGAAGAAACUUACAACAAAGAGUCCCUCCCGACUGUUUACCAAAAACACAGCACUCUGCUAACUCGUAAGAGGAUGUAUAGGGUGUGACGCCUGCCCGGUGCUCGAAGGUUAAUUGAUGGGGUUAGCAUUAGCGAAGCUCUUGAUCGAAGCCCGAGUAAACGGCGGCCGUAACUAUAACGGUCCUAAGGUAGCGAAAUUCCUUGUCGGUUAAAUACCGACCUGCAUGAAUGGCGUAACGAGAUGGGAGCUGUCUCAAAGAGGGAUCCAGUGAAAUUGUAGUGGAGGUGAAAAUUCCUCCUACCCGCGGCAAGACGGAAAGACCCCGUGGACCUUUACUACAGCUUGACACUGCUACUUGGAUAAGAAUGUGCAGGAUAGGUGGGAGGCUUUGAGUAUAUGACGCCAGUUGUAUAUGAGCCAUUGUUGAGAUACCACUCUUUCUUAUUUGGGUAGCUAACCAGCUUGAGUUAUCCUCAAGUGGGACAAUGUCUGGUGGGUAGUUUGACUGGGGCGGUCGCCUCCCAAAUAAUAACGGAGGCUUACAAAGGUUGGCUCAGAACGGUUGGAAAUCGUUCGUAGAGUAUAAAGGUAUAAGCCAGCUUAACUGCAAGACAUACAAGUCAAGCAGAGACGAAAGUCGGUCUUAGUGAUCCGGUGGUUCUGUGUGGAAGGGCCAUCGCUCAAAGGAUAAAAGGUACCCCGGGGAUAACAGGCUGAUCUCCCCCAAGAGCUCACAUCGACGGGGAGGUUUGGCACCUCGAUGUCGGCUCAUCGCAUCCUGGGGCUGGAGCAGGUCCCAAGGGUAUGGCUGUUCGCCAUUUAAAGCGGUACGCGAGCUGGGUUCAGAACGUCGUGAGACAGUUCGGUCCCUAUCUGCCGUGGGCGUAAGAAGAUUGAAGAGAUUUGACCCUAGUACGAGAGGACCGGGUUGAACAAACCACUGGUGUAGCUGUUGUUCUGCCAAGAGC